rnacentral:rRNA from 1 species
GGUAAUGCCGGAUGCUCCGACUCCUCGCAUGGGGUGUCGGGAAAGAUUUCAUCGGUAUGGGAUGGGGUCGCGUCCUAUCAGGUAGUCGGCGGGGUAACGGCCCACCGAGCCUACGACGGGUAGCCGGCCUGAGAGGGCGACCGGCCACAUUGGGACUGAGAUACGGCCCAGACUCCUACGGGAGGCAGCAGUGGGGAAUAUUGCACAAUGGGCGCAAGCCUGAUGCAGCGACGCCGCGUGCGGGAUGACGGCCUUCGGGUUGUAAACCGCUUUUGAUCGGGAGCAAGCCUUCGGGUGAGUGUACCUUUCGAAUAAGCACCGGCUAACUACGUGCCAGCAGCCGCGGUAAUACGUAGGGUGCAAGCGUUAUCCGGAAUUAUUGGGCGUAAAGGGCUCGUAGGCGGUUCGUCGCGUCCGGUGUGAAAGUCCAUCGCUUAACGGUGGAUCUGCGCCGGGUACGGGCGGGCUGGAGUGCGGUAGGGGAGACUGGAAUUCCCGGUGUAACGGUGGAAUGUGUAGAUAUCGGAAAGAAACACCA